AGUGAACGCUGGCGGCAGGCCUAACACAUGCAAGUCGAACGGCAGCACAGUAAGAGCUUGCCCUUAAGGGUGGCGGGGGGCGGGCGGGUGAGGAAUACAUAGGAAUCUACUUUUUCGGGGGGGAUUACGGAGGGAAACUGACGCUAAUACAGAAUACGACGUACGGGUGGAAGCAGGGGAUCUUGGGGGCUUGGGUGAUUGAAUGAGCCGAAUCCGGAUUAGCUAGUUGGGGGGGUAACGGCCCACCAAGGCGACGAUCCGUAGCCGGUCUGAGAGGAUGAUCAGCCACACUGGAACUGAGACACGGUCCAGACUCCUACGGGAGGCAGCAGUGGGGAAUCUUGGACAAUGGGCGCAAGCCUGAUCCAGCCACACCGCGUGAGUGAAGAAGGUCUUCGGAUCGUAAAGCCCUUUUAUUGGGAAAGAAAAGCUGUGGGUUAAUCCCCGCCUGUCUUGACGGUACCUAAUCAGAAAGCACCGGCUAACUUCGUG
rnacentral:rRNA from 1 species